rnacentral:rRNA from 1 species
UACAGAGGUGCCAAGCGUUAGGCGGAAUCACUGGGCGUAAAGCGCACGUAGGCGGCUUCUUAAGUCAGGGGGUGAAAUCCUGGAGCUCAACUCCAGAACUGCCUUUGAUACUGAGGAGCUUGAGUCCGGGAGAGGUGAGUGGAACUGCGAGUGUAGAGGUGAAAUUCGUAGAUAUUCGCAAGAACACCAGUGGCGAAGGCGGCUCACUGGCCCGGUACUGACGCUGAGGUGCGAAAGCGUGGGGAGCAAACAGG